rnacentral:rRNA from 1 species
GGCUCAGGACGAACGCUGGCGGCGUGCCUGACCCAUGCAAGUCGGACGAGGGUUCAGCAAUGGAUCCGAGUGGCGGACGGGUGAGUAACACGUGAACAACCUACCCUGGACAGGGGGAUAACGUCUGGAAACGGACGCUAAUACCGCGUAAGACCACGCUAUCGCAUGGUAGAGGGGUCAAAGGAGCAAUCCGGUCUGGGAGGGGUUCGCGUCCCAUUAGCUAGUUGGCGGGGUAAUGGCCCACCAAGGCGACGAUGGGUAGCCGAGCUGAGAGGCUGAACGGCCACACUGGAACUGAGAUACGGUCCAGACUCCUACGGGAGGCAGCAGGGAGGAAUAGUUGGGCAAGUGGGGGAAAAACCCCUGACCCAGCAACGCCGCGUGGAAGGAUGAAGGCCGUUCGGGUUAGUAAACUUCUGUGACGGGGACGAAAGAAAUGACGGUACCCCGAGAGGAAGCCACGGCAAACUACGUGCCAGCCGCAGC